AAGAACAAAACAGACAAAAUGAAGACAAAAGAAGAAAGGCCCAAAUUAAGGCUUGGGAAAUGGGAUGGGCAGAAGGACAAGUUUAAAAACAGGUUUUAUGAAGCAACUAGCAAAACUGGUUCAAUGGCGAACAUCCCUCUCCUCAGCUCUGGGAGGGUAUUCUGACAGGUACAAAUGCUGGUGCAUGAGCACCUCCGGCCUCCACAGGGAAGUCACACGCACAUCCCCUGACCCGUGGGGACGGCUGGCGCUUUUCCCAGGGGGAGACAGGGCUCUGUGCGACAGUCCUCACCAACGACUCCACCAAGGGGAACAGGGGGCCCCUACGAGCGGGCCAUGAUGUUGAGUACCGCCAACUGUGUGCACCUGCGACUGUGCAAGUUCCCCGACUCGCCUGCCCCACCACCUGUCACUCUGGACCAGCCAUUUCUCCGCCCAUGUCUCUGCUUCUGCUCUGGGGCUCUUGAACAUCGGCCUGAGAAAGCCACAUACUCCUUACUGGCUCCAUUACAAACUUAAGAAUCCCAGCAGCUGUUGGGUCCUUCCAUCACUCAAGAACUGAUGAGGCUGAAUCGUUUGGCGAAUCCUCUCCAACUCCGGCCAUGCUGUGCAUCCCUCUCCCCACCUGAAUGACUGUUAUCACUGGCUUCUCCCGCACCUGUCAGCACUGCUCUCUUCCCGCAGUGCCUCCAUCCCAGAAGCGCACAGACGUUUCACAAAUGAGCAGGUCCCUCCUCCGCACGCUACGGGAAGGCAGGGAAUAAAGGCACUACGGAGCGAUAGCAAGGACACACCGGCUGACGGACUGAGGACCGUCCACAUGUGUCCAGAGCCAUGGAGCCACGCCCUACUGCACACAGCAGCUCUUCCGCCAGUGACCACAGAAUCUUCUCUUCGGUGACCUGAAGUGACUGCGGGAUGACCGUGGAACGCGUUCUUCCAUAGACUGCAGCUUCUCCUUUAUAAACUAGGGCCCUCUCUUCUUCUUUGGAAAGCAUGAAUAAUUUUACAAUUUUCUCAACCAGAAACAAACAAAAUCAAUAAAAGCCCUCUGCCCGCAUCCCUGCUGCUGUCCUGGUGCUUCGGGCUCCCUCCCAACCCUCGGCCCCGCUGUCCUUCCCCUCAUCCCCGACCUUCCUGCUGCCUUUGCAUCUGAUUCCCCCGGAACAAAUCAAAGACAAUGAUUCUCCUGUUGCUAAAUCUACUCGUCUCUUUUCAUUUUUCUCCCCAACGACCUCCAGAGCGCCGGCACGCUGUGGACCUCCACCCACUGCUACAAGUGCCUUCCUCCUUCAGCCUCUUCCUCCCUGGCCGCUCUUCUGCCACUUCAACCCUUCACUGCCAGCACUAGGAGGUUUGACGAGGUUCCUGUCUCGUUCUGGCUCUUACUGUACAUAAAAGGCCUGGGAGCGCUCAUCUAGGACCACGCUGGGGUAGCCAGUGGUCCUGAGUUAUUAAGUAGUCCCCCUUUCUCUCCUUCUGCACUGGGGGUUGGCCUCUACCCCCGUGACCCACUCACCUUCUGUGAGGGCCAUUCCUUGCUCUGGCCAAGGAAAGGUGACCUGAGCCACUUCGGUAUGUAACCCGCCCUGUCUGUGUCUUCGUACCCAGUGGUCCUGGAAGCACGUGUCCAGGAGGGCUCCCCGAGGGACCACGAUGAGCAGAGCACCUGCCAACGUGUCAGACCCAUACUGAGGAGGAAAGCGGUCUUUGCUGUAGUAAGCCACUGUGGUUUUCAGGGCCAUGUGUGUCACAGCAUGACUCAGAGACAGGACUCUUUCGUAAGUACGUAUUUCCAGCCCCAAUUACUCUGCUGUCGUGAGCACCACAGCGAAAUCUCACCGGAGCACUGUGUCUGUCACUGCCCUGCGUGCACACAGAACGGAGUCUGAGGAACAGUGCGCUUCCCUAAAGAAGAGAAACUCGGAAAUGGUCUGACUUCCCUCUGAGAUGUUUCCUUUGUGUUUCGGGUGGCCUUCUCUGAAGUCCAAAUGUUGGCUGGUUUAGUAAGCCACUGCGAGAACACUGAGAGGUCAUCUUUACAUGAUGUCUUCCUUUCUCUCUUUAGGGAUCUGAAUAGAUCACAUAAUCUUUUCAUUCAACAUGUAUCAGUCCUUCCCCUAGAUAAAUUACAUCCGUUACUUUUUGCCCACUGUAGCAUGCUUAUGUUUCCUGAAUUUUUUUCUUAUACAUCUGGCAUUUGACACUUAGAAAUAUUUAAUAAUGUAUGCAAAUUUAGAGAUUUUAUUCUUCUCCUAGGAGCAUUCCUUAAUUUACAAAAGCGCUUCCUCUCAAGCUGACGCAUUCUGACCCGCAGCGCUUUCAGGGAGAAGCACCACGGUGACUGCACCACAACGUCCCCUGCUCCAAAACCAGCUGCCACCAUUUCCUCCGAGGGUGGUCAUGCAGAUUCACGACGUUACGUACCGGGUGCUUCAAACAGCACCUGCCAUGUGUUGGCGCUCUGCCUGGGCCUCAGCCAUCACAGACAUUUGGAGUCCUAAUGAACACUACUUCAUCGAGCUCCCUGGGAUGACCCGUGUGGCCCGGCGGGGGCAAGGACACUUGCCAGCCAGCAAACGUGUCAGAACCACUCUGAAGCACUGCAAAUAGGCACGGACAUUCAAAGGGCACCUGCUGGCUCCCAUGCAGAAGUGCUUUCCUCGUGCCAGUCUCAACAAAACCCCGAGCGUGGGCGGCCCACCCACUGCAGAGUUUUCGUGUGCCUGCAACAGAGGGGGAGCACAAAGGCGGCCAGCAAAGACUACGGAUUUGCCUCAGGAGAGCAACACGGCGAGACCGAGCCAGGGACACAGGCGGACACUGCGACCUGCACCAGGUCUGGGCCCCGCCCGGGACCCUUGGCCCUCGGAUCCUCUGUGGUGUUAACGUGAGCCCUCAUUCCCAUGCACUCAGAACCCCAGGAUGACGGAGGAAGGCCCAAGUUCACUUCACCUAGGAGGCAACCUGAAUUCAGUGGACACAUAUUUAAAAAGUAAGAUUUAAAAAAAUUCUUUCUCAACUUAUAAUCAAGUAUAAAGAAGAUAUGAGCCCUUAAAUUACUCCUGGAAACCCAAGGUCUUUCAAACUUUGCUCAGGAUACAGCAGUUUCGUAAUAUAUAGAGUCUAGUAAUUGCUCACAUUAUUAAGGUUUUUAAAUAAAGGUAAGUAUGUGUUAAAAUAUUUAAAAUUAAUGAAAAGAGCUUGCAUUUUUAAAAUGUCCAAACACAAAUGAAACUUAAGAGGCGUCUUAAGACUUAAGUUUUUUUGAACGGAUGGUUUUUGAGCAGCAUAAAUACUUUCCUGGAAGAUAAAAAGCCCGGGUGCACUGAAUUCAACCCAUGAGAGAAUGAGAAACAGUCCUCAAUGUGGCAAGCAUAUGUGACGCCUAGAUUUGUGUCUGUUCUGCCCACGUGUGCAACCAGGAGCUUCCACGUGCCAAGGUCGCCUGGAGAGGAAACCUAUUAAACGCUAAAGGCUGAAGGGUGACAGCUGUCGAGGAUGGAUUCCAAUCCCGACCCUGGGACAGCCUGGCUGUGUGACCGAGCGAACAAUGGGGGCCGGCGCGAUGCGGCUGUGCAGCACCACACCGAGCCAGGGCGCAGCUGUCAGCAAGGUCAGCAAAGAUCGGCAGCGUGGAGGACGCGUGAGCUCAAGAUUCGGAGACUCCUCCUGGCCGCAGUGCCCUCUCCAGUGAGCCCCCGGGCACAGCCAGUCUCCCCGUCCUGGGGUCUACACAGCCCGAGACCUGGCCUGCUCCCCACCCCUCCUUGAAGGUGCACACGUGGACCCCUACAGGAGCCUGACUGACACACUGCUGUGCACACAGGCCCCCACGGCGCACGCGCACAGAACUGCCCGGCCUUUCCCCGAGCCCCAGACACCAGGCCCCGGCACCAUCCUCGUCAGCCUGCAGCUCAAGAGGCCCUCACGUAGCUGCUGGUGUGCUCACGAAUCCUCCCACACCUUUCCACCCCUUGACCUCACGCACCUGUUUGCUCUUCCUUCAAACUCUGAUCAGACAAACCCACCACAGUGAUCUCUUCCAAAUUCUACUGGGUGACUGAGGAGUGGGAAAACCCCCAAAUACCACCACUUCCUUCCCCGGUUGCGCUAGGCCACCUCCCAGUAAGGGACAUUGACAAGUGUGGCGAGAAGAGGGAUCAGAACCCACGAAAUGCCGCUGCCCUGCUCCAUGGAGGCCUUGCUCCUUGCAGCGCACAGCCCACAGCCAGCGCUUGCUUAGCACUCAGCCCCUCAGGUCCUGCCCCACACCCGCCAACGACAGGGAAUGAUCCGUAAGGUCCCUGGGUGGUACAAGGUGGUUAUUUUCAGAGAUACUGCACAGAGUCACUCCAGCACAAAAGCACCACCAAAUGUGAGAGCUGACACUAACAAGAGAACUUGUUUCUUACCUGACGCAACAAUGGUGCUCGCCCGCAGUGUAUUUUCUAGGCUGAGACUCUCAUGAAUGGGUGGGUCGCAGUCUUCCUGUUCACAGAGAAGGGGAAAAAUGGCAAGUUAGAAACUUUUUUUACUUCAGAUAUCAGCAGUGAUAAAACAAGCAUACAAGCUGGAUUCAGUGAAUGAGCAGUGAAAUGGCACUGCAGAAUAAAGGUGAAAAAUGGGAAUUUAGACAGAGGCUCCUGGGAAGAGGGCAGAGCAGGGAGCACCAGGAAUCUCUGCCCACCGGGCAAUGACCACACGGCAGAAUCUGUCUGAUGGGACUAUUUGGGGACUGUGGAGUCGGCUGAAGGCUUGCGGCUGUCCAGGAGAAGUAGUCAGUUUUGGUCUCUUCUAGCUCCCAGCACAGAGCAGCUACCCAGCCGUGCGGCAGGCAGCUGUGCACGUGUUUCUGGGGCAGCCUGCAGACGCCAGGUGGGCAAGAAGCACCCCGUCCUCCAAAGAGCAGGAGUCUAAGCUCUGACCACUGCCGGCUGCUUCUGAUCACACAGGUGCAGACACAGACCCUGGCGGCCCUUGCUGUCGGCCCACCAGCUCCAGUGACUCCAAGGGCAUUGGAAGGGCGAGGGCCCCCUUGUCCCCCUUCUGGGAGCCAGACAUUAAACACUAGAACAUUCUAAUACAACUGCAUAUAUGGAAAAAAACACAAAGUGACUGUGGGUGCCCAAGAAAAAGCUCAGAAAAGACCUGAAAAGACAUUAAAUGUACACCUCAGACUGAUAACCCGGCACAGAGACAGUCUAUAAUCAUAAAAAAUAAGUAAAUCAACAAAUAAAUAUAAUGACUAAAACCCCAGCAAGCCCGGAAGAAGGGUGAGAAUGGACUUCCAGAGGUACAUCACUAUACUAAAAACAAAGUGUUCAAUAACAAGGCAUUAAAAACAAAACAACAACAAAAAAAGUAUGGCCCAUUUAUUUAUUUUUUUUUAAGAUUUUAUUUAUUUGAGAGAGUGAGAAAGAGCAUGAGAGAAGAGA